UUUUUUUUUUUUUUUUGCAGUUGUAUAAAUGGAUUUCUUUUUUUUUUAUUAUUAUAGUUGAUUUACAACAUUGUGCCAAUUUCUGCUGUACAGCAAGGUGACCCAGUCAUACAUAUAUGUACAUUUUUUUCUCAUACUAUCUUCCAUCAUGUUCUAUCCAAAGAGAUUGGACAUUCCCUGUGAUAUGCAGUAGGACCUCAUUGCUUAUCCAUUCUAAAUGUAGCAGCUUUUAUUAUUAUUAUUAUUAAAGUUUGGUUGAUUUACAACAUUUCUUCAAGUUUUAUUGUACAGCUAAGUGACCUAAUCACACACAGUUCCCUGUGCUACACAGUAGGGCCCCAUUGCCCAUCCAUUCCAAAGAAAAGAGUUUGCAUCCAAAAAAGCCCCUAAAUGCCCAUCCAUCCCUCUCCCUUCCCCUCCUGGGAACCUCAGCUCUGCACUCCUUGGCCAUGAUCUGUUUCUGUUUGUUUUUUUUUUUGAAAAGAUCAUCUGUUCCACAUUUUAGAUUCCACAAACAAAUGAUGUUAUAUGGUAUUUGUCUUUUUCUUUCUAGCUUACUUCACUUAAUAUGAGAAUCUCUAGUUCCAUCUGUGUUGCUGAAAAUGGCAUUAGUUUGUCUUUUUUAUAGCUAAGUAAUAUUCCAUUGUGUAUAUGUACCACACCUUCUUAAUCCAUUUAUCUGUCGAUGAACAUUUAGGUUGUUUCCAUGUUUUGGCUUUUGUGAAUAGCGCUGCGAUGAUAGGGGUGCAUGUAUCUUUUUCAGUGAACGCUUUGCCCAGAUAUAUGUCCGGGAUUAGGACUGCUGGAUCAUAUGGUAGUUCGCUUUAAACCACAAGACCUUAUCCCAGAGUAGCCAGUGCUGCCCUGGCCAUCAAGGAGCUGACUACCUCCUGGAAAGUGUGUCUUGGUCAAUUUAUACCCAAUCACCUUGCAGAGUGUCUGGCACACAGAAGGGCUGAAGGAAUAUUAAUUGGGAAAUACAUAAAGAAGCAGCAUGCAGCUGGCUUCAUGGCCAGGCUGUGAGGAAUUCAGAGGAGGAAGUGACAGCUCUGGAGCUGGGUUCGGGGAGUGGUGACUGCAUGUUCCGGUGUUAACACUCCCUGAUGGCAGUAGAUUGGGCAACAACUUUUGGAGUGUCAAUUUGGUCCAUUUUUCCCCCUAUUUUUACAUCUCCUUUACUCUCCCAGUCAUUUGCUAUUUCAAAAAUCUCUAAAAUAAUCAAAAUGGGAAAACCAGGACUUGCAAAUAAAUAAAUUUACUUUAGUUUUUAUUUUAUCAUGCAUUUUGGAUUGCAUUUUGGGUUUCAUGGCAGAUCUGGAUUUAUUCUAAUCUUUAUAGUGCUGGCAUGCCUUCUAAGUGUUUAUCAAGUGGAGAUUCCUUUUUAUUCCUUGACCUUCAAACCCUGCUGAGGAGGAAGGACAGGUAUGGAGAAGAUCCUGACCUAGACAUUAGCCUUCACUCUCCCUGGACUUUUCAAAUUGGUGAUAUUUAAAAUAUUUAGCCAUCCAGGACCCCCACAAAUGGGGGCAAAUGUUGCUCUCCUCAGAAAAGGGCUAGUGAUAAGCAAGUCGUCUGGUGAGCUCUCCCUGAAUGCCAGCCCGGCUGUCUCCGAUUUGGUUUCUGAGAAUCUGGAAGGGGUUUCCUUUCUUUUAGAGACCUGUCAGUCCUAGUGCUAGACUUCCAAUACAUGAAAUACUUGAACCCCGCAAGGGUACCUCCUAUACUGGGAGGUGCAGACCAGCUCAGACAGGGGUCACUGUGGCAAAGCCCAUUCCCCUAACUGAAUAUAAUCCCACUGUUACUUUGCAUCUCUCUCCAUCAGGAAAAUGGAGGCAGUUUUCAGCACUUGCUUUCGUUUCAUUACUGAGGAAAUACACAUAGCUUAGGAGGGGGAAAAAAAAAAAAAAUGGAGCAGAGAUAUUUAUAACGUGGCUCCUGGCCCCAGGCCUUUUGAGUACAGUGGUCAGGUCAGGCACCCGACACAGAUGUGCAGAUAUAGACAGAGACUUGGGGGAAGGACGCAGGCCCUUGCAGAGCCUGCUUCUCACCUGAAGAAUGAGAGUGGCCGGGUGCCCGUCCCUACCUCUGGUGACACACUUCACACAGAGAUACACGCCGUUGCCAGCCGGCGCCUUUUCCCCUUUAACUGAAACUUCCCUCCUUGAUGAUUUCACUUCAGACACUGCUUUCCCUAAACCUUUCUAUGACUAGAAUCAUGCUAAUGUUGACAGUUCUUCCCCGCCCCCACCCCCUUUGUUACAUCGCACAACCCAGAGAGAAUGUGAGGUGAGCUUGUCGGAGGAGAUGAAAGAUGGCAAGAAAUGGGUGUUUGGGGACCAGUUCUUUGGUGACAUCGACUCUACAAUCCUCUUUUCACUCUCAGCAUCUCACUCCCUCUCUUGCCUUCUCCCUCUCCCUCGCUCCCCCUGCCAGCUCUUCCUCUUCUCUCUGAAAUGGUGUGUGCCUCCAGUAAUUUACAUAAUACUCUUCUGACACCUUUACUUUAGUCAUCAAUCACGGUACCUUCUCUCAGUCUAUCUUUUGUCUGAGCAUGUCUCUUCUUUAUCAGGCCAUGCACAAAAGAUUAAUUUCACAGUUUUUCUCCCUUCUUUCUUUCCUUGCAAGAUACAAAGCUCAUGAAAUGACAGAAGCAAGAUAAUGAAAACAACAAUGCAAGCAAUUUUUUUUUGUUCUUGCAGGUUGGAUCUCAAGAUACUUUUUCUAACCUCAUUGUGUGCCAUCUGUCUUAGAAAAGGUCUGCUCUGUAUUUUUUUUUUAAUACUUUUCUGAUGCUGCUCAGUAGACUACCUGGGGAGGGGGGGUGGUUGGAGAUUACAUAUUUAAAUCAGGUCAGAGGCUUUGGUUUUCAAAAUCUUUGGAACAAUUAAAGCAAGGGGCCCAUUUCUAAUGGAGGCAUGGACUACUGCACAAUGCCCACACCCCAAUUAAUAUUAAUGAGAUCUUAUGCAUAGCCAAUUUAUGACAUUUGAUUGACUCACCCAACUACCCUUCAACCUGUCUUAUAAAGUGAAAUAUAUGGCAAAAAGGGCCUUAUUUGCAUAUGCAUAUGUUCUUAAUAUUAAUUAGGCUAAUGGAUCUAAGGACUUGGAGAUAAUUUGGGCACUGGUAAAGAAGGGAAAAAUAUCUACCACUCACAAAACAGAAGCGUGUUCACUUCUUGUCUCUGCACUUGAACAAAAGAAGUUGAACUGGAAGAUUAAUAUAACUCAUGCUAAUUUCCCUCUUUUCUUCUUUCUACAGCAUUCAUAGUUUUGUAAAAAAUAGAAAUAUUUACUAUAGGCAUUAGUAUUAUAUAUCUUCUUUUUUUCCAUAAAUUUUGAAAAAUUAAAUAGAUUAUGGAGUGACUUAUUAAAAUAAAAGCCUAGUUCAACUAUAUGCUCGUAGCCGUAGGUCAGACCUCUCCCAUCCUCCAGGGAGAUGCUGUGGCUUCAAGAAGAUGCCGUGUCUCACAGGGACACUGUCGGAUAUAGGAUGAGGGGUUAUGUCAGGAGGCAGUGUUGCCAAGGACGUCUGCCCUAGCAGGGUCACUAAUGGAACUUAUCCCCCUAGCAGAGUGGCUGGGAACAGCUCCUUUGAUGUAGCCUAAUGAAGCCUGGAGAGGAGAGUCAGACUUCAUGGGUUUUGUUGUUGGGAUUGAGGGCAACACAUAUCCUGAUUUUUUUCUUUCAAACCAUUCUUUAAUGGUCUUUGACUCCAGUGAUAUUAAAAAAAAUUCUAUAUCAGCUCACUGUCUGUAUGCUAAAGGAUGGUAAAACCAGGUAACUAGCAGUCUUUGGAUAGCAGAACAGUCGUAUGAGCUUGCUUCAUGGUACCAUAAGUAAUAGUCAUUGUAAAUAAUAAUAGUGACUGUCACUCAAGUGCUUAUUCUAUACCAAAAAUUAUGGAAAGAGCAUUGCAUAUUCUUAUGCCAUUUCUGUAGAAUAUGAAUUUAAAUUCCUAUUCCAGAAAUCCCAACUCCAGUGAAUUGAACCCCAGAGAGAUGAUAGGACAUGCCUAAUGUCACUCAGCUGGGAAUGGUGAGGCCAGGAUUCACACCUGGGGGCACGGUGACUCUGAAGUGUAAUCUCUUUCCUUGGUCUUCCAAGGUCAGGACUACUCAAAGGCAUUGUAGACUGGAGGUAAACCUAGGCUAGAGUCAAGAAAACAGCAACAGGCACUAUGGGAAGACAUACUCUACUCCCUUUUAAGAUAGAUAAUGGCUUGGCUAACUCCAUGAUGUCCAAGUAAAUAAUUGCAUUCGGUAGUGGAAAUGACUAUUAAUUGCCACACAGAUAAAAAAAAAAAGUGAGAUACUUGAUUAAUUGGCAGGUCAGUAAGGUGCUUUGGAACAUAAAUAUUUGUGUUUAACAUUGUAUGAAUGAAAAUUCUUUAUGGAAUAAAGUCUUAUUAAGAAAAAUGUUCCGGGGGUUCCUGUCGUGGCGCAGCGGAAAUGAAUCCCACUAGGAACCAUGAGGUUGCGGGUUCAGUCCCUGGCCUCGCUCUGUGGGUUAAGGAUCCGGCAUUGCCGUGAGCUGUGAUGUAGGUUGCAGACACGAUACGGAUCUGGCAUUGAUGUGGCUCUGGCAUAGGCUGGUGGCAACAGUUCCAAUUAGACCCCUAGCCUAGGAACCUCCAUAUGCUGUGGGUGCACCCCCCCCAAAAAAAAAAGACUAAAAAGAAAAAUGUUCCAGAAUUCGCUAGAAUGGUUACAUGCAUAGAAGGAAGGGUAGAACAAAUAGAUGGGGACCAGAUGAGGUCUGUUCUGUGGGGAAUCCAAGGUGGUAACAUGAGAGACCAGCAAGGAAUGGAGGCUUUAGACAGGGAUGGCCCCACGGAUUCUCUUCUCAACUCCCCAUCCGUUCUCUGAAUUCUGGUGGCUGGGCACAGCUGGGGAUUCUGCCCUCUGAUGAAAUUGCUAGUGAGUUUUAGGAGCUGCCACACCUCUCACUUUACUCUCUAGGGAGCAAAUGUGUGUGUGUGUGUGUGUGUCUCCUAUGAAUGUGAAUUGGGGCGGGGGGAGUGGGAGGAGCAGGGAAGAGUGAGAGGACCCUUCUUUCCAGAAGUCCCAGGCUUGAGUUUGGCAUUUACAGGUCUGGUGGAGACCAAUAUGGGUGAGUCCUUCUCUCUGAUAACCAUUUAUUCUGCCCAAACUUGCUCCUUUUUUGGUUUUAAUUAUCUCUACUGCUGAGAUUGCUUUGACUACAUUGUGAAGAUGUGACAGGUAGUAAAAGCAUGUGUAUGAAGCAAGGGUGGAGCUGAUAAGCUUUAUUCUCCCCUCGCAUUAAAUAUAUGUUCAUUAAACUACAGCUUAUUUUCAGAGAGAUGGGGAAGAAGGAAGCAGAAAGAGGGAAAGGAUUAAGUGUGCCUCAUUCUGGUUAUCCUCACCCACAUCUAGCUCAGCAAAAGUCAGCCUGGUGGCUCUAGAUCCAGCUCCCUGCAGUUACAUCCUGGCUCCACCUCUUAGGAACCAAGUGCUCAGGAGCUACUUAACCUCCCUGAACCUCAGUUUUUUCUUCUGCAAAAGAGGUACAAUAAGAGCACGUGCCUCAUACUGCCUUGUUGUGCAACUUAAACAGAAGUACAGUGCCUGGCACAUAGUAAGUGCUCAGUACAUAUUAGGUCUCAUUAUUAUUCCUGUCGGGUUUCUCCAUUCAGUGGAUGCACUACACUGCCUACUUUCCCCACUAAAUGUUCUUGGAAUUCACUCAAGAAUAUCCUUUUUCAAUAAUACAUAUAACCAUUACCUAUCACCUUACUAGUUGCAGAGGAUGAACAGGACAAAUGGGACAGCUGCCCUCACAGGGCUUGUGAUCUAGCGGAGCAGAAAGGUAUUUAACAGCUGAAUAGGGUAAGAUGAGUGUUCGGUGUGAGGAUUUAAAUGAAUUAUGGGAGGGACCAGAGCAGAAACUGCCUAAGUCCAAAUGUCAGAGGAGAUCCCUGAGGCCUGAGUGGCUGGACCUUCAAAUCUACAGGAAAGAAAAUGGUGGAAGGAAGGUGAAUGCUAGCAGGUCUCAGCCGGGUGAGGUCUGUUAGUCACUCAAGAAAGUUGGAUUUAAAGUAGGGCAGUAAGAUGUGUUGAGAUGUACAUUUUGCAAAGAUUACUGGAACAGAAUGUGAGAGGCAGAGGGAGAAGGAUACACCUGCUACCUGGCUAGGGAGGAGCCAGUGAUGGGGACAGUGAUUAAGGAGAGAGGCAGGGGGACAAGCAAGCUCCAGAGUAAAUUAUCUUCCAGGGUCC
ensembl:lncRNA